GACAGAGGGUGCGAACGUUGUUCGGAAUUACUGGGCGUAAAGCGUGCGCAGGCGGUUUUGUAAGCCAGAUGUGAAAGCCCCGGGCUUAACCUGGGAAUGGCAUUUGGGACUGCAAGGCUUGAGUGCGGCAGAGGAGACUGGAAUUCCCGGUGUAGCAGUGAAAUGCGUAGAUAUCGGGAGGAAUACCGAUGGCGAAGGCAGGUCUCUGGGCUGACACUGACGCUCAUGCACGAAAGCGUGGGGAGCAAACAGG
rnacentral:rRNA from 1 species